rnacentral:rRNA from 1 species
AGCUCCAAUAGCGUAUAUUAAAGUUGUUGCAGUUAAAAGCUCGUAGUUGAACUUCUGGCUAUUCUUCCAGCUGGCUUCGGUCGCUGUAAGAGUGGUCAUCCGCUUGGGAACUACGUUCGAACUUCACUGUUCGGCGUAAGGAACAGGCAUUUUACUUAGAAAAAUUAGAGUGUUCAAGGCAGGCUAUCGCCCUGAAUACACAAGCUUGGAAUAAUGAAAUAGGACUACUUCCAUUUUAUUGGUUAUUGGAAUUAGUAAUGAUUAAUAGGGACAGUUGGGGACAUUAGUAUUUAAUUGUCAGAGGUGAAAUUCUUGGAUUUAUUAAAGACUAACUUAUGCGAAAGCAUUUGUCAAGGAUGUUUUCA